CUGAUAUCUUUGAUACUCAGUAU
rnacentral:snRNA from 1 species